UGGCGGCACUAGCGCGGUGGUCCCACCUGACCCCAUGCCGAACUCAGAAGUGAAACGCCGUAGCGCCGAUGGUAGUGUGGGGUCUCCCCAUGUGAGAGUAGGGAACUGCCAGACA
rnacentral:rRNA from 1 species